rnacentral:lncRNA from 1 species
UCCGAUAUCCACACAGACGUGACUCGUUGCCCUCCCCUCGCACAAUCCCGUCGCGGCGUCGCCCUCCCCUUCUCUCCGACCGGCGGCGCCGACCCUCCCAGCACUGCGACGCCGCCCCUCCCAGCUGCGAAGAUGGAGUCCUUGGUGGCGAACUUGGUGGCCCAGGCCAGCACGAUGUUCUCGUUCUUCCCCGUGAAGUAGUUGAGCACGAAGCAGAUCAGGAAGCUAACGCAGGCGAUCUCGACGGAGAAGGCACGCAGGAGCUCCGCCGGCGUCCUCUUCGGGGCUGGCGCCGCCUCGGCCGCCGCCUCCACGGAGGGAUCUGAUGGGGCGGCCUCGGCCGGCGCGGCGGAGUCGUCGGAGGAGAUCGCCUCCGGCACGGGGAUGCCCUCGAACUCGUCCUCGUCCCAGAGAUCGAGCGCCAGGGUGGGGUUCGAGGGCGUGGGCGCGGCGGGGUUAGGGUUCGGCGCCGAAGUCAUCGUGACGGGAGGGGAAGGCGAGGAGGUGGAGAGGGAGAUGGGCGGAGGGGGCGAGAGGUCGACGCCGUCGAGCCCCUCCUCGUCAUCGUAAGCAUCGACGCCGCCAGCCGUGGAGGGGAGGUCGUCGGAGUCGAAGCCCUCGAAGUUGGCGGCGAGGGAGAAAGUGAGGUUGAGGGCGAGGAGCAGGAGGAGUAGGAGGGCUGCGCGCGGCGGCCGGAGCCCGAUCCAGCUCGGCGCUGCCAUGGCCGAUGAGGUGUUCUGGGGAAGAUGGAGGGGCAUUUUUGUCUAACAGAUUCGAUUUUCAGUUGAGGUCUGCACCUCUCAAAUUGGUAUUUUCAGUUGAGGUCUGUACCUUUCAGUGGUAUUUUACGGUAUCAAUAUCUUUCAAUGAUAUGUUAUAGAAAUCGACCAAUUUUUUCAAAUAAUUUUACGGUAUUUUACGGAGUGAAUGUCUUUCAAUAAUAUUUUAUAGAAGUCGACCAAUUUUUUCAAAUAAAAAUGACAAGCUGGAGUAGACAAUGCUGGUAUGAAUUAUGAUCAAGCUCUAUCUUCUUUAACGGAUCUAGUUUUCCUAGACGGGUAAUCCUCUUCAUCAGAUCUUCAUCCCGAUAGUACUAUGGUUUUAUUCCUCUCCUCUUCUAACGAAGCACUAUGAAAAGAGUAUGUUUAUAUAGUGAUAACUUUUCGAAAAAUAUUUACAUCUACCCGAAAUGAUAGCGAAGACGAGGUUGGAUGUAGAGAUGAAUGAUGUAC